UCUUUUUCAAACAAUCAUUGUUGUCAUGGAAACGCACACCGUUUUAAUUAUUUUACCAAAUAUGAAAAUACCAUAUAUAUUUUAUUGCUGAAAAAGCAACACUAUCAACUGAACUAAGCUCAGAAUUGUUUUUUCUUUACCAAUAGUUUAUCUUUGCUUACUGAUAUACAUUAAAUUCUCGUCUGUAGCCUACCUUCCCAACUUCCCACCUACAACAGUUGCUGCACCUACGUGCGAAUUAUGCCCGUCCUUUUUUUUACUCUGUUUACAACUUUUAUACUUUUAGAUUCCGAGCAUAGUGAUGGGAGCUAUUGGUUUUACUAAGUUUCUUUUUUCUUUUUUUGUUCUAGUCUGUGGACAUGUUUUUUCCUAAUAUACUUGCUCCGAUGAUAAGUGUAGUACGUUUUCUAAAAGCUCAAAUUAUCUAGAUUGUAUUUUAGAGAGAUCAUUUUUUAAUUUUCAACGCCAUUUUUUAAAUAAAAGCAUCUGAGUGGGGAUAAAGUAGAAAAACGUACAAUUUCACGAUUUCAUUAUUUUAUACAAUCACAACGACGUUUUCUAACAAAAAAAAAAAAUUAAAUCGAAAAAUCACAAGACAUCUUUUUUUAUUGCCUUUUUGAUAUACUUUCUUACGGUAUCAUCGCUAAAACUUUUGAGCCAAUUUGAGUUUUUAAGGAAUU